rnacentral:rRNA from 1 species
GAUCCUGGCUCAGGAUGAACGCUGGCGGCGUGCUUAACACAUGCAAGUCGAACGAAGCACUUAAGAUUGACUCUUCGGAUGAUUUCUUUUGUGACUUAGUGGCGGACGGGUGAGUAACGCGUGGGUAACCUGCCUCACACAGGGGGAUAACAGUUAGAAAUGACUGCUAAUACCGCAUAACCCGAUAGGAUCGCAUGGUCCAGACGGAAAAGAUUUAUCGGUGUGAGAUGGACCCGCGU